rnacentral:rRNA from 1 species
GUGGGGAAUAUUGCGCAAUGGGGGAAACCCUGACGCAGCAAUACCGCGUGAGUGAAGAAGGUUUUCGGAUCGUAAAACUCUUUUAUUGGGGAAGAAGAAGUGACGGUACCCAAUGAAGAAGUCCCGGCUAACUACGUGCCAGCAGCCGCGGUAAUACGUAGGGGACAAGCGUUGUCCGGAAUCACUGGGCGUAAAGGGCGCGUAGGCGGUUUUAUAAGUCAGAUGUGAAAGGUACCGGCUCAACCGGUGACGUGCAUUUGAAACUGUAAGACUUGAGUACUGGAGAGGCAAGUGGAAUUCCUAGUGUAGCGGUGAAAUGCGUAGAUAUUAGGAGGAACACCAGUGGCGAAAGCGGCUUUCUGGACGACAACUGACGCUGAGGCGCGAAAGCCAGGGGAGCAAACGGGAUUAGAAACCCUGGUAGUCC